rnacentral:rRNA from 1 species
AGUGAACGCUGGCGGUAGGCCUAACACAUGCAAGUCGAACGGCAGCACAGUAAGAGCUUGCUCUUACGGGUGGCGAGUGGCGGACGGGUGAGGAAUACAUCGGAAUCUACUUUUUCGUGGGGGAUAACGUAGGAAACUUACGCUAAUACCGCAUACGACCUACGGGUGAAAGCAGGGGAUCUUCGGACCUUGCGCGAUUGAAUGAGCCGAUGUCGGAUUAGCUAGUUGGCGGGGUAAGGGCCCACCAAGGCGACGAUCCGUAGCUGGUCUGAGAGGAUGAUCAGCCACACUGGAACUGAGACACGGUCCAGACUCCUACGGGAGGCAGCAGUGGGGAAUAUUGGACAAUGGGCGCAAGCCUGAUCCAGCCAUACCGCGUGGGUGAAGAAGGCCUUCGGGUUGUAAAGCCCUUUUGUUGGGAAAGAAAAGCAGCAGGUUAAUACCCCGCUGUUCUGACGGUACCCAAAGAAUAAGCACCGGCUAACUUCGUG